GGAGAUGGGGGCUUUGGGAGAUGAUUAGGGUUAAAUGAGGUCAUGAGGGUGGGGCCCUUAUGAUGAAAUCAGUGCCCUUAUAAGAAGAGGCCAGAGCACUUGAGCACUCUCUUAUUCUUGCUUGUGCGCUCUCUCUCUCUCUCUCUCUCUCUCUCUCUCUCUCUCUCUCUCACUUUCUCUUUAUCCCACUCAUGAUGUAAGGACACAGAAAGAAGGUGGCUGUCUACAAGAUGAAAAGAGAGCCCUUACCAGAACCCAACCAUGUUGGCAUCCUGAUCUCAGACUACAGCCUCCAGAUUGUGAGACAAAACAUUUCUGUUGUUUAAACCACCCAAUCUAUGGUAUUUUGUUAUAUCAACCUGAGCAAACUAAUACACUCUCUUUUGUAGUUUUACUAGUUAAGAUAUGGGCUAAGCAGCAAUGAUAAAUAGAUCAAAAGAUAUAAUGAUUUAAAUAAGAUAGAAUUCAUUCCUCUGCUCAUUGUAAUCCAUAGUCCAAGACUAUAUGGGAAGUUCUACCAUCUACAAUUCGUGGUUUCUAUCUUGCAGAAGGCUGCAGUUUCAGUUAUUAUCUUCCAGCCAGCAGGAAGUAGGGAAGGACCAAGAGAAUAUAAAUGAUUCCUUUUUGAAGCACACUCGAGAAGUGAUAAAAAUAGCAAUAAUAAUGAUUCUGUUUAUUUACCAUUGGCCAGAACUUAGUCACUUGGGCAAGAUGCAAAAGAUGCUAAAUGCUUGGUCGUGUUCCCAGCUGAAACUCAGGCAUUCUCUGACUAAAGAUGGACAGAAUGGAAUUGAUGAAAAGUGAGCAGUCUCUAUACUUUCUCUUCACAAGAUGUAUUUCAAUUAAUAGUUACAUAUUUAUUUGUUUGAUAAUUUGUUCAAUGACUUUCUUCUCUUUUGAACAUAUGCUGAAUGAGGGAAAAACAUUAUACAUAUUUGGAUCAGCACAAUUUACCCAUGCUGGGCACAGUUCCUGGAAUUCAUUAGAUGAUUCAUAAAUAUUUGAUUAUUGGAUGAGUAGAAAAUGUGUUCUUUAAGUAUCACGCGAUCUAAUAAGUCCACCUUCUGCUAAAUAAACUCUUCAGAGGAUAAAGCAUGUACUCUAUGUGUGGAUACAGGCAUCUCCAGCCAACCCUGAGGACUCCAAUGCUGCCUCCAAUCCUUCAGCAACCAUUUCUUCCUUAACAUCUUCAUCUGGGGCUUCUGAACAUUCCAUUGAAACGUUUUGCUUGGCCAGAUCUCGUUCUCAGCCUAGUAUUACAUCUAUUACUGCCAAUCACUUUCUAUUGUUCUUAUAAUUCUUUCCACCUUGGUUUUCCCCCUUUUAAGUAAUGCUACCUUCAAACCCCUAACCAAAUUGGCUAGUUACCCUCAAGUUAUUUUUCUAUCCCUCUUUCAUUUCACAAUUCAUCUUUACUCACUGAUUCAUCAAUUCCUUCUUUCAUUCAGCAGCUAUUUACAUCUGUUCUGUUUACUGUGCUAAUCAGCAAGAAUACAAAAUAUGUAAUAUAAGCUGUCUUAAGGAAGCUCAGAGUCUACUUGGGAAAAUAAACAACUCAGAUGCAAUGUAACGGGUGUGAUAAUAGAGAUAUGUUUUUAAAACUAUGAGAACACAUGUAUUGAGUGCCUACUACUAUUGCCUCAUUGGAUCUACUGUCAUCCUCAGAUCAUCCCAACUGUAAAGGCCAUCCCCAGCUCUGCCUCUGCCCAUCUGUGCCGAGCUCACGAUCUCCGUGAGGACUGGCCCUGUCUGCCUGUUCACUAUUGUGUCUGUAGCCCCUGCUUGGCACAUCGUGGGUUUUCAGUAAAUGUCGAAUAAAUGAAUGAAUGACAACCAUUAGAGGCUUCCAAAAGAAGAAAAACUAAAAUUCAAGGAAAGUAAAAGGAAAAGACAACUGCCUUAGAAACAAAAAAAAAAAUGAGAAAAUUGAGAGGAAAAAAUCCUGCCUUCGAGCUUACCCAAUAAAAGCACCGCUCGUGAUAGAGACCAAAGGUU